rnacentral:rRNA from 1 species
UCAAACCAGAAAGAGCGUAUGGCGGAUGACUUGGCGUCGAGAGGCGAUGAAAGACGUUGGAACCUGCGAAAAGCUGUAGGGAGCCGGUAACCAGGCUGUGAUCUACAGAUCUCUGAAUGGGGAAACCCACCCGCAAGGGUAUCGCACGCUGAAUGCAUAGGCGUGCGAGGCGAACCCGGGGAACUGAAACAUCUAAGUACCCGGAGGAAAGGAAAUCAAUUGAGACUCCGUCAGUAGCGGCGAGCGAAAGCGGAUGGUUGUGAGACCGGCGAACACGUUGGAAUGCGUGAUCGAAGAGGGUGAAAAUCCCGUAGUCGGAGUUAGCAACUCAGCCCUCGAGUAGGUUCGGGCUCGUGGAACCCGGAUUGAACAUAGGAGGUCCACCUUCUAAGGCUAAGUACUCCUCGACGACCGAUAGCGCAAAAGUAAAGUGAUUGAAAGUUGAAAAGUACCCCUAUGAGGGGUGUGAAAGAGAUCUGAAACCAUACGCUUACAAGCGGUCGGAGCCCUCCGGGGUGACGGCGUGCUUUUUGCAUAAUGAGCCCGCGAGUUAGUCUCUGUGGCGAGCCUAAGGCCUACCAGGCCGGAGGCGGAGCGAAAGCGAGUCUGAAUAGGGCGUUCAGUCGCAGGGGCUAGACACGAAACCCGUGUGAUCUACCCAUGGCCAGAGUGAAGGAAGGGUAACACCUUCUGGAGGCUCGAACCCGUUAACGUUGAAAAGUUAUGGGAUGAGCUGUGGGGAGGGGUUAAAGUCCAAUCAAACCGGGAGAUAGCUUGUUCUCUCCGAAAUAACUUUAGGGUUAGCCUCGGCAUGCAACUAUCGGGGGUAGAGCUACUGGAUGCGUGGCGGGCCCUUCCUGGGUACCCCAUGCAACCAAACUCCGAAUACCGAUAGCCAAGGGCCGGGAGAUAGACCGCGAGUGAUAAUAUCCGCGGUCAAAAGGAGAAUAAUCCAGAUCGCCAGCUAAGGUCCCUAAAUUAGACUUAGUUCAUAAGGAAGUCAGAUUGCCGUGACAGCCAGGAUGUUGGCUUAGAAGCAGCCACCAUUUAAAGAGUGCGUAAUAGCUCACUGGUCGAGGAAUCUGGCGCCGAUAAUGAUCGGGAAUAAGUCUAAUACCGAAGCUGCGGGCUGCGUAAGCAGCGGUAGGAGAGCGUUCCACGGGCGGUGAAGCCAUUCUGGAAGGGAUGGUGGAGCGCGUGGAAGUGAAUAUGCGGGCUUGAGUAACGAUAAUGAGGGUGAGAAUCCCUCACGCCGUAAGCACAAGGUUUCCUGGGGAAGGUAAAUCCGCCCAGGGUUAGCCGGGACCUAAGGCGAGGCCGAAGGGCGUAGUCGAUGGACAUCAGGUUAAUAUUCCUGAGCUCGCUGGGUAACGGAUCGUGAAUGUCUCCAGCCUUAUUAGAUUGGCAGGCCUUCGGGCCGUUGGAGGUUGAAGCGGUUCCCAGAAAAAACCAGCAUAGACCCGUACCAAAACUGACACAGGUGUGCGAGGCGAAUAGCCUCAGGCGCUCGAGAGAACGGUCGUGAAGGAACUAGGCAAAUUGACCCCGUACGUUCGCAAUAAGGGGGCCCUUCGGGGCGCAGAGAAAAGGCUCUGGCAACUGUUUAUCAAAAACACAGCACUGUGCUAACUCGCAAGAGGAUGUAUACAGUGUGACGCUUGCCCAAUGCCGGAAUGUCACGGAAGCAGGUUAGGUUUAUCCGAAGCUUGUGACCUAAGCACCGGUCAAUGGCGGCCGUAACUAUGACGGUCCUAAGGUAGCGAAGUUCCUUGUCGGGUAAGUUCCGACGCGCAUGAAUAGCGUAAUGACUGGAGCACUGUCUCCACGACCGACUCGGUGAAAUAGUAGUGGCGGUGAAGAUGCCGCCUACCCGCAGCAAGACGGAAAGACCCUAUGAACCUUUACUGCAGGCUCGUAUUGGUCACGAGCACAGGAUGUGCAGGAUAGGUGGGAGGCUUUGAAGCCGGCGUUCAGGCGUUGGUGGAGCCGUUGUUGAGAUACCACCCUUCUUGAGUUUGUGGCCUAACCCUGAUUCCCGUGAACCCGGGCAGGGGACAGUGCGUGUUGGGCAGUUUGACUGGGGCGGUCUCCUCCGAAAGAGUAACGGAGGAGCGCAAAGGUUGGCUCAGCACGGAUGGAAACCGUGUUUUAGAGUGUAAGAGCACAAGCCAGCUUUACUGCGAGUCCGACAGGACGAGCAGUCGGGAAACCGGGCUCUAGUGAUCCUGCGAUCGCGUGUGGAAGCGUCGUAGCUCAUCGGAUAAAAGGUACUCUAGGGAUAACAGGCUUAUCGCUCCCGAGCGUCCAUAGCGGCGGAGCGGUUUGGCACCUCGAUGUCGGCUCAUCGCAUCCUGGGGCUGAAGGCGGUCCCAAGGGUUGGGCUGUUCGCCCAUUAAAGCGGUACGCGAGCUGGGUUCAGACCGGCGUGAGCCAGGUCGGUCCCUAUCUGUUGUGGGCGUUGCAAACUUGAAAGGAGUCAACCCUAGUACGAGAGGAUUGGGUUGGACCAACCCCUGGUGAUCCUGUUGGACCGCUCGGUCCACCGCAGGGUAGCUACGUUGGGCAGGGAUAACCGCUGAAAGCAUCUAAGCGGGAAGCCCCCCUUGAGAUAAGGUUUGCUUGCUUUUGCGAGAGACCCCCGGAAGACGACCGGGUUGAUAGGCCGCGAGUGUAAGGGUUGAGAAGCCCUCAGCUGAGCGGUACUAACGGUCAAAGGUUUGAUCAU